rnacentral:rRNA from 1 species
GACGAACGCUGGCGGCGUGCCUAAUACAUGCAAGUCGAACGCAUUUUCUUUCACCGUAGCUUGCUACACCGAAAGAAAAUGAGUGGCGAACGGGUGAGUAACACGUGGGUAACCUGCCCAUCAGCGGGGGAUAACACUUGGAAACAGGUGCUAAUACCGCAUAAUUCCAUUUACCGCAUGGUAGAUGGAUGAAAGGCGCUUUUGCGUCACUGAUGGAUGGACCCGCGGUGCAUUAGCUAGUUGGUGGGGUAACGGCCUACCAAGGCUGCGAUGCAUAGCCGACCUGAGAGGGUGAUCGGCCACACUGGGACUGAGACACGGCCCAGACUCCUACGGGAGGCAGCAGUAGGGAAUCUUCGGCAAUGGACGCAAGUCUGACCGAGCAACGCCGCGUGAGUGAAGAAGGUUGUCGGAUCGUAAAACUCUGUUGUUAGAGAAGAACAAGGAUGAGAGUGGAAAGUUCAUCCCUUGACGGUAGCUAACCAGAAAGCCACGGCUAACUACGUG